AGAAGCAGAAGGUCCCUGAGCUGAGGGCAACAGGUCUGGCACAGAAGCAUCCUCAGGAGAGACCCACUGCUGGGUACAGAGCCCUGGAGGAGGCACCCUGAGGAUAGGGCGGAGACUCGGAGGCAUCUACAGCACCAGAUGCCAAAGACAGGCCACAAUGCUUCACUGAGUGCUUCACGGAGUAAAUAGAACAAGGAACAAUUCACCAGGUACUUUGGAGCAAAGACGAGUGAAGAUGCAGGCACUGUCCUAAUUGUAGAUGCUUGAGAAAAUAGAGAUGUAAUCAUGGAUACCCACCAGGUAUUUGAGUCAGGUUCUUCAAUGCAAAAGUCACAUAGAAGCUGCUGCUUUAAUGUUUGUAACAGACUUCCAAACUAAUGUCUCUUAUAAUGUCCCUGUGUAUUAAGAUUUCCAUAAAACCAUUACAAUUUCUAUUUAUUUUGUCUAGAUGUAAAGCAGACGGCAUAUCAUAUUACAUAUAUUGCUAAAAUUCUUGCAGCCUAAUGUAUACAGAUUUGUGAAUUUUGAGUGAUCUGAAGUUCAUGAAUAUUUUGAGGUUGGUUUGUUUUGUCUUGUUCAAAGCCUAGAUAUCAUGUUUUUUCAGUUUAACAUAUUUCUUGAGGGAAAAGAAAUGUUUAGAUUUCCAGCUAGUUAUAAAAUUGUCAGAAAGAAUAGAAGUUAAACAUACAGAGAAACAAAGGUUACACAUCUGGGAAAAUAGUAGAAAAGCCUUUAUAUAGUCUUGGCAAAUGAAUUCAGAGGUUUUAUUUUUAAUCACAACUGUGAAGAAAGAAAGAUUACCUUUUGGGGAAAUUAAUGAAUAUUGUGGGCUUAGACAUAAAAUAAUUGUUAAUUGCUCCAUUUAUUAGAAAUCAUAUGUCAAAAGUGUUUUAUCAUCAGUAAUACAAUAGCAAUAGAGAUAAAAAUAUAUACGGAUAUUUGAUUUUGAUGAUUUUAAUCUCCUAUGCCAUUUCCAUAACAACAUGAUUAUUCACACCUGUCAAACUGAUGGGUGAGAAUGUCAACUUGCCCUUGAAUGCCAAAGACUAUUUUCAGACCCUUGAGUUUUCUCACCAAUUCAAUCCAUUUUGCAUGCUUCUGACAUGCCUUUUAGAAGACCAAUUUGCUUAUAUCUCUUUACCUAUUUACUGAAACCCUCAUUUAUUAGCUUGGCAUUCAAAGUCUUCUACAGUCUUGCCAUAUCUCACUUUAAAUCUGUUUCUCCCCCUACUCACCUUCUCCAAUGCAAUCCCUAUGUUGUAAUAUGGCUAAUCUACUUGUUUUUUUAAUGUAUUUCAUGUUACUACUAUCUUGAAGUGUUUUCUAUGUAUUUCUGUCUCUACACUGUGAUCCUGCAUUGUGCCAUCUACUUAGUGACAUGCAUUCCCUUCUUUGACACAUGUGUCUUACGUGCCUUUGUCCCCCACAUAUUACCUAGACUGGUGCCAUAUCAUAGACAGUAGGUUAUCAAUAAAUGCUUCUUGGUUAGUUAGAUGAUUAGUAUACAGUAUGCUUUUGAUGAGAAGGGUAAAGAAAAUCAUCAGAGAAGUUAAUGGAAUUAGACUCCACCCUGGGUGUCUCUGCCUUCAAAACUCAUGUCUUUCACAUUAUUCCACGCCAACUCCCACAGAAUAGUAUUUGUCUUAGUCCAUUUCUGAUGUCAUAACAGAAAACCGGAGAUCAGGUAAUUAAUUAUAUGAUUAGUUAGAAAAAGAUUCAUAACUAGAACCUAGUGCUCCCCAUUUCCCUCAUGCUUGAUAGGUUUUUAAAAAUUUAUUGAAAUAGUUGCAAUUUUGUCAAAUUAUUUUUGACUCAUAAUUCAUACCUUCUGAUAUUUCUUACUUUGUAAAAAUGAUUUUCUUCUUUCCAUUUUGUAUCUACAAUUCAGCUUCGG
rnacentral:lncRNA from 1 species